rnacentral:rRNA from 1 species
GAGUAACUAUGACUCUCUUAAGGUAGCCAAAUGCCUCGUCAUCGUAAAUAAAGGUUCGACUGGUUCGACGUUAAAGACGUGCACAUAAGCCAGGCUGGGCUCUACCGAGCUCGGCCCAGGGUCAAAUUGCAGGGAGGAGUGGGCCGGUCCAACCAGCAGCCAAGCCGAUCCCCGGAGGCGGGGGUCGGAAGGUCCAGAGACUAGACGGCCCGAAGGCAAAGGAAUAGUCCACCCAUUGGAGUAGUCGUGAUCAGCGUGGCUGGGUGCGUCGAGAGAUCGGCCAGACCCUUAGCCUGCAUCGCUCAGUAACGGCGAAGCCUUAGAUCGGUCCAAGCGAUCGGUCGGGCGGGUGUUAAUUUGUGACGCGCAUGAAUGGAUUAAUGAGAUUCCCACUGUCCCUACCUACUAUCUAGCGAAACCACAGCCAAGGGAACGGGCUUGGCACAAUUAGCGGGGAAAGAAGACCCUGUUGAGCUUGACUCUAGGCAUAGACGCGAGGUGAUUCUAAAGGUGUAGCAUAGGUGGGAGGGCCUAGCCCGACCUUGAAAUACCACCACUUUCGACAUUGCUUUGCCAAUGCUGUAACGAAUGAACGGCCCCUCGGUACUCGGCUCGAAAGGGUCGUUGCUGGGUAAGGUCAUAUUCUGGCGAUUUCCGAGCUCACAUGGUGGGUCGGACCCUCUGGGUGAGUACUUCGGGACCACAAACUGGGCUUCCGGGUCUGGUGCGUGUUGAUUCUGGGGGAACCAGAGACGGCUGACUCGUCCUCUGGGGCAAAUGGUACAUAAGUCGUGUAGCAGACUAUCUAUGUUGGGGAGUUUGGCUGGGGCGGAAAACUGCUACACGGCAACGGCAGUCUCCUAAGGUCCACUCAGAGACGACAGAAACGUCUCGUAGAGCAUAAAGGCAAAAGUGGGCUUAACUCGCAUUUUCAGUAGUAAUGUGAAGCAAGAAAUUGAGGCUUAACGAUCCUUAGCGGCGGGUGCCAGCCCACGCUUGAGGUGAGAGAAAAGUUACCACAGGGAUUGAUAAAACGGAGUAACGGGUUAGACGAUUAAACGGGCUGGGAUGGACUUGACUGGGCGGGACGCCAACCGGUUGAGACUUGAACGGCUCGAGUGGUUCCGAUCGUAGUCCGGGUAACCGGGCGACGCACCUGGAUGCUGGGACAACCUAUAACGGCUCGGUCGAGAGGCUGGGUCGGGAAACGUCGAGGGUACCAAGCGUUGCUCAGUAGUACUGGGCCGUGGAGUCGGGUCGGCCUAAGGGCACGGCCUGGCGGGUCACAAUCCUUCGUAACGGGGUUCAUCAGCAGGCAACAAGGUCAUCCAGUAGGGCAACCUGGGAUAGAGUGUAACUGGCUUCGGCCGACCUACCCUAACGGCUCAACGGGUUAAACGAUGUACUGCGUGCUACAACGACUGGUAAGGUGUGGGCUUGACUGGGCUUCAACUCGAUCUCGAAAGGGAACGGGUCAAAGGCUCGGACGGGCUUAAGGUACAGUCUCUCCCGCUUCUCAGUAGGGCUACGGCCUGACCGGUAGCGCUUCGAACCCCCGAGCACUGGCUAAGGCUGGUCUCAACAAAAAGGGCCGGAGGAGACGGGCUAGGACGUAGGCAUUCGAACCACGGCUUAGCUCGAUCUCGGUAACGGCAAACUUGGAACUGGCUUGUGGCCGCCAAGCGUUCAUAGCGACGUGGC